UAUAUAUACCCUUCUUUUUCCCAAUCUUUUCCAAUUUAAUGAACCCUGGAUAUCGUAGAUAGGAACCCUAGCCCUAAAUCUACUAACAACAGCCAAGACAAAGACCAUCGGCAAACUCAAUGGCAAAUAGAAACCCAUCUGUCACCGCAUCGGUGAUAACAUCAACUAGACGGGACACUCCUUCUACACUCAAGAGGAUAACCUCGAUAAACAUCAUUGGCAAGUUAAAUCUCUACGUUUAUUAGCCACUGCUGAUGACCUUUCAUCAGAAAAUAACUGUUGCGAAUAACAUCUGUAUCCAUCACUGGAGAAAUCUAGAACGAAGAAGCCCUAACCCUUCUUCAUAGAUGAACUCCACUGUCGAGAGGCCCUAAUUGACCUACCAUCACCAAGAUUUUGGGAACUUCUUCAAAUAAUCAACACAGGGUCUAUUUGGUGAAUUUGAAAAAGUCAAGUGGCGUGGAACAUGGGUUGUUAAAACAGUAAUUAGAAGACAAAUUUAUGAUGAUCGUGUUACAAUGUUUGUUAGAUUAUACUUUCUCUUUCCUGUUUUCUCAGUUUGAUGAAUUUGUUUGAGUUAAUGUUAAAGAAAAUACUCUCUUAAGGGAGCUUCGACAUCCCAAUAUUUUGCAGUUCCUUGGUUCAAUUGUGCAUGGGGAAGAGAUGAUCCUGAUUACAGAGCAUUUGUCAAAAGUUGCAAAUGAAAUCAAUAUGAUCUUCAAGGUGUCAAAAGAAGAGAAAUUGUCAUGUUGAAGAAAGUGAUUCCAAAAAUCAUGAAGAUUACGUUAAUGAACUCAUUAGGAGGUUGAACUAGGUUUUUGCAUAUUAUGGUUUAUUUUAAUGGUUUUUUUCCUUAGCUUUUGUUCUUAUAUUAAAAGAAUUGUAAAUUAUAGUCCAAUAAUUUGUAUGUAAUCAUUAUAUAAGUAGUUAUAUUAAUUGCUUAGAUUAGGUAA